rnacentral:rRNA from 1 species
GACGAACGCUGGCGGCGUGCUUAACACAUGCAAGUCGAACGCUUAAGCUCAGCUUUUGUUGGGUGGAUGAGUGUCGAACGGGUGAGUAACACGUGAGUAACCUGCCUCCUUCUUUGGGAUAACGCCCGGAACCGUGUUCUAAUACUGGAUAUUCACUGGUCUUCGCCUGGGGGUUGGUGGAAAGGGUUUUUCUGGUGUGUGAUGGGCUCGCGGCCUAUCAGCUUGUUGGUGGGGUGAUGGCCUACCAAGGCUUUGCCGGGUAGCCAGCCUGAGAGGGUGACAGGGAACAUUGGGACUGAGAUAAGGCAAAGACUCCUACGGGAGGCAGCAGUGGGGAAUAUUGCAAAAUGGGCGCAAGCCUGAUGCAGCGACGCCGCGUGAGGGAUGGAGGCCUUCGGGUUGUGAACCUCUUUCGCUAAUGGUCAAGCCGCAAAAAUGGUUGUGGUGAGGGUAGUGGGUAAAGAAGCGCCGGCUAACUACGUG